UCUAAGCAAAUGGACAUAAUGGUAACUCCCUCAAGAGGUUGUGAUAAUUAGGAAUAUUUAUCCUCUAGUCUGAGCUCAACAAAGCUUACCCAUUGCUUUGACAAUGAAGGUGAUGAGGAUGAGGAUGUCCUCUAGCUGACAGUCCAGUCUCUGACACCUUUCCUUCUUAAAUCAUGUGGAUAUUUUCCCUGGAAACAACCUUUUCAGCCUGGAAGACAGCUUCUCUCUCUCACUUUUUUUUUUUUAGCUCAUUUUGUAGAUAUGUGCACACAAUAAGUUAACUCUAUGAGGGCAAUCUUUCCCCUUUAUCACUAAGUUCUUAGAGGGUCUCUUAACUAAGCCUCCUGGCAUUAAAAAUGCCCACAACUAGGGAGUUUUCAAACUCCCCUCUUCUCUCUGUGCCCAGGUUGGCAAAAGUUCACAACUCUGAACGGUUAAUUGCAAGUCCUCAGGAACACUGAUUUGUAGAAGAGGGAGAAAAGGCGGACUGCGGACUCUCAAUGCAGGCUGGGCCACCUCAAACCUGUACAAAUGAUCUUAGGGGCUGACCGUGGAAGAGGAGAGCCGGGCAGCUGACAGUCCAGCGCUGGGAAGCGUUAGUGCCGACAGAGGGGCUGGCCUAAGCCAACAGAAGGUCACUCUCGAUCUCACUUUCCUGAAUCCCUUCUUUCUAUCCAAGGGUCCCAUACACAUCCUCCCCCCUCUCCCCCCACGUCCAGAGCUUCUCUCCUCUCUCAUUUCUCUAAACCCAAAUCUACUCCCAGGGAAGAAUCUGAUAAAUUCAUUCGCAUCAUAACGUGAACAAACUCUUCCCAAGAGUAUAUGUAUUUUGAAGACCUAAGGUGAGAAUAGUGGGUCUCUGUGCAAUUUCAGAUGUCAGGGAAAUCAGGUAAGAGGGGUGCGACCCGCUCUGAGGGGACAGGGGAUGGUGCACAAUGGGCGGGAAGGCUAGGGUGAGAGCAGGACAGGCAUUUUCGAGAGGAAGACAGCUCCCUCCCAGCCAGGGCUCCAGGGGCAGAUGGAGGUGACCGUGGGAGCUAAGGAGGCAAAGAGCAGGAAACCUUGAACUCAAAACUCGUGUGGGAAGUUACCUGCUUUUUCCUUCAAGUGAGAGAUUCAAGGGAAGAAGGUAUAUGUAAAACUCACUCAUGUAUACAGUGUCAUUCAUUCAUUUAAAUGAAGUGGUAUUUGCUAUCAGAGAGGCAGCAGAGAGAGCCACGAGCAAGAUAGAGAAGGCCUCUCUGUACCUGAAACAAUGGAACUUUCUCUCCAACUGGCAGGGUGAAGCUAACAACAUACAAUUUCACGUGGUUCUAAGUGCUUUGACAAGAUAAAGCAGGGUAAGGAGAUGCGAGAGCGGCAAGGCAGUUGCACAGGGCAGGUCUGUUUAGAUGAGGUGGCUGGUUAGGUUUACCUAGGUCGGGUUUCCAGAUUUAGCAAAUAAAAAUACAGGACACCCAAUUAAGUUUGAGAGAAACAAUGACAACUUUUUCAAUGUAUGCGUGUCCUGUGCAAUAUCUGGGAUGUACAAGUACCCAAAAAUUAUUCAUUGUUCAUCCAGAAUUCAAAUUUUACUGGGUGUCCUGCAUUUUAUCUUCUAACUCUAGCCCAAGAAACCCCCACAAAUGAGGUGAGGGAGAGUUCCAAGAGAGAAAACUGGAAGGGCAAAGAUUUCCAGGCAGAAAUGAGCUCGGUUUGUUCAGGAAGCUCUAUGUUUUUGGAAUAGGGGUAGUCGGGGGACCCCAGGCACAUGUGAGAAGUCUGCAUGUUAAUCUCAUCUGUUGAAUUGUUUUUUAAGAUUUUAUUUAUUUAUG